rnacentral:misc_RNA from 1 species
AAACCUCAACCUUCUCGGUUUCUUCUGGACGCCGAAGGAGGCUUGGACUUUGGAGGCCAUUGCCGGCGUCUCUGCCGGCUCCUCUCAAAUGAAUUAGCGGGGUCCUCUUUGCCGGUCCUCGACAUGUGAUAAGAUGUUUCCAUGUCUUGGUUUAUGGCUCUGUCACCUUUGGGACCCGCUUCUAGCCGUCUCGUCGAGACGUGUCUCCCUUCUCGGGGAAACGCUCUCGGACCCACGAACCC